UAAGACGAGCUCUCCAAACGUUAUUCGGUAUCACUGGGCUUAAAGAGUUCGUAGGCGGUCCCGUAGGUGAGGUGUGAAAUCCCUCGGCUCAACCGAGGAAUUGCGCUUCAAACCGUGGGACUUGAGGGAGGCAGAGGUAAGCGGAACAGAUGGUGGAGCGGUGAAAUGCGUUGAUAUCAUCUGGAACACCGGUGGCGAAAGCGGCUUACUGGGUCUCUUCUGACGCUGAGGAACGAAAGCUAGGGUAGCGAACGGGAUUAGAUACCCCGGUAGUCCUAGCCGUAAACGAUGAGCACUAGCCCGUGGGGACCCUCACAUCCUCUCGGGCGUAGCGAAAGUAUUAAGUGCUCCGCCUGGGGAGUAUGGUCGCAAGGCUG
rnacentral:rRNA from 1 species